GCGCGAGUGGUGGAAUUGGCAGACUCGCUAGUUUCAGGUACUAGUGCCCAACCGGGCGUGCGGGUUCAACUCCCGCCUCGCGCA
rnacentral:tRNA from 1 species